rnacentral:rRNA from 1 species
UACGUAGGGUGCGAGCGUUAAUCGGAAUUACUGGGCGUAAAGCGUGCGCAGGCGGUUCGUUGUGUCUGCUGUGAAAUCCCCGGGCUUAACCUGGGAAUGGCAUUUGGGACUGCAAGGCUGGAGUGCGGCAGAGGAGACUGGAAUUCCUGGUGUAGCAGUGAAAUGCGCAGAUAUCAGGAGGAACACCGGUGGCGAAGGCGGGACUCUGGGCCGAUACUGACGCUGAGGAGCGAAAGCGUGGGGAGCAAACAGG